UACGGGGGGUGCAAACGUUGCUCGGAAUCAUUGGGCGUAAAGCGCACGUAGGCGGUUCGUUAAGUCGGGUUGUGAAAGCCCUGGGCUCAACCCAGGAAGUGCACUCGAAACUGGCGAGCUUGAGUACGGAAGAGGGUCUCGGAAUUCCCGGUGUAGAGGUGAAAUUCGUAGAUAUCGGGAGGAACACCAGUGGCGAAGGCGGAGACCUGGGCCGAUACUGACGCUGAGGUGCGAAAGCGUGGGGAGCAAACAGG
rnacentral:rRNA from 1 species